rnacentral:rRNA from 1 species
AUUGAACGCUGGCGGCAUGCCUAACACAUGCAAGUCGAACGGUAACAGGCCCUUCGGGUGCUGACGAGUGGCGGAUGGGUGAGUAAUACUUAGGAAUCUACCCUGUAGUGGGGGACAACCCGGGGAAACUCGGGCUAAUACCGCAUACGCUCUACGGAGGAAAGCGGGGACCGCAAGGCCUCGCGCUAUUGGAUGAGCCUAAGCCCGAUUAGCUAGUUGGUGGGGUAAUAGCCUACCAAGGCAAUGAUCGGUAGCUGGUCUGAGAGGACGACCAGCCACACUGGGACUGAGACACGGCCCAGACUCCUACGGGAGGCAGCAGUGGGGAAUAUUGGACAAUGGGCGAAAGCCUGAUCCAGCGAUGCCGCGUGUGUGAAGAAGGCCUGCGGGUUGUAAAGCAACUUUC